rnacentral:rRNA from 1 species
UUUACGCUCUAUAACCCUUUGUGACAUACCUAUAACUGUUGCUUCGGCGGGUAGGGUCUCCGUGCCCCUCCCGGCCUCCCGCCCCCGGGCGGGUCGGCGCCCGCCGGAGGAUAACCAAACUCUGAUUUAACGACGUUUCUUCUGAGUGGUACAAGCAAAUAAUCAAAACUUUUAACAACGGAUCUCUUGGUUCUGGCAUCGAUGAAGAACGCAGCGAAAUGCGAUAAGUAAUGUGAAUUGCAGAAUUCAGUGAAUCAUCGAAUCUUUGAACGCACAUUGCGCCCGCCAGCAUUCUGGCGGGCAUGCCUGUUCGAGCGUCAUUUCAACCCUCAAGCUCUGCUUGGUGUUGGGGCCCUACAGCUGAUGUAGGCCCUCAAAGGUAGUGGCGGACCCUCUCGGAGCCUCCUUUGCGUAGUAACUUUACGUCUCGCACUGGGAUCCGGAGGGACUCUUGCCGUAAAACCCCCAAUUUUCCAAAGGUUGACCUCGGAUCAGGUAGGAAUACCCGCUGAACUUAAGCAUAUCAAUAGGCCGGAGGAAAUCGAACAA